UAAGCGGAGGAAAAGAAACUAACAAGGAUUCCCCUAGUAACGGCGAGUGAACCGGGAAGAGCUCAAAUUUGAAAUCUGGCGUCCUCAGGGCGUCCGAGUUGUAAUCUAUAGAGGCGUUUUCCGUGCCGGACCGUGUCCAAGUUCCUUGGAACAGGAUAUCAAAGAGGGUGACAAUCCCGUACUUGACACGACGACCGGUGCUCUGUGAUACGUCUUCUACGAGUCGAGUUGUUUGGGAAUGCAGCUCAAAAUGGGUGGUGAGUUCCAUCUAAAGCUAAAUAUUGGCGAGAGACCGAUAGCGAACAAGUACCGUGAGGGAAAGAUGAAAAGCACUUUGGAAAGAGAGUUAAACAGUACGUGAAAUUGUUGAAAGGGAAACGAUUGAAGUCAGUCGUGACCGAGAGGCUCAGCCGGUUCUGCCGGUGUAUUCCCCUCGGUCGGGUCAACAUCAGUUUUGUCCGGUGGAUAAGGACGGUAGGAAGGUGGCACCCUCGGGUGUGUUAUAGCCUGCCGUCGCAUACAUCGGGUGAGACUGAGGAACGCAGCUCGCCUUUAUGGCCGGGGUUCGCCCACGUCCGAGCUUAGGAUGUUGACAUAAUGGCUUUAAACGACCCGUCUUGAAACACGGACC
rnacentral:misc_RNA from 1 species